rnacentral:rRNA from 1 species
GACGAACGCUGGCGGCGUGCUUAACACAUGCAAGUCGAACGGUGAUGCUCCAGCUUGCUGGAGUGGAUCAGUGGCGAACGGGUGAGUAACACGUGAGCAACCUGCCCCAGACUCUGGAAUAAGCGCUGGAAACGGCGUCUAAUACUGGAUACGAAACUGGCCCGCAUGGGCAUGGUUUGGAAAGUUUUUCGGUUUGGGAUGGGCUCGCGGCCUAUCAGCUUGUUGGUGAGGUAAUGGCUCACCAAGGCGACGACGGGUAGCCGGCCUGAGAGGGCGACCGGCCACACUGGGACUGAGACACGGCCCAGACUCCUACGGGAGGCAGCAGUGGGGAAUAUUGCACAAUGGGCGAAAGCCUGAUGCAGCGACGCCGCGUGAGGGAUGACGGCCUUCGGGUUGUAAACCUCUUUCAGCAGGGAAGAAGCGAAAGUGACGGUACCUGCAGAAGAAGCACCGGCUAACUACUUG